AAGCAAAGAUGUUCCCGUAAAGAGGUGAAAAUCAUAUAUGGUUCACUUAUUCAACCACUUAAUGGUCAUCUACUAUGGUACUAGCACAGCGUGGUUUCACCAAGACAAAACUUCCUGUUUAAGAUUUUAUAAUCUCUUUGUGUAGGGAGAUCAGAUCUGUACAGGUGAGAAAGUAAUGCAGACAACAAAGGAUAACGGAUGUGCUGCGGUCUGGGAGUCAGGGAGGUCUUUGUGGAGAUUGAGGAGCCCAUCAGGUUUUGGAGGAUAACAGUAUUUGAAAGAAGAAACGACAUCUUUGAAUGGAGAGACUGUGGGCAGAGUGAUAUGUGAAAGUUGAGUGGCAUGAAUGAUUAAGAUUGUAGAAGAUACAGAGGUCAGGGUAGAAAGCUGGGACUUGAUCCUAACAGGCAAUGAAAAAUUUCAAUUGAGGUUGAAAGAUUAGGUAGGAAACUACUAUAAAUGCAAAUAUAAAUAGUUGAUAUUCCUUGUAAGUGAUGUGGAUUUAGGAAACUACAGAAAGAAAAAAAUCCGGACAAAGAAGCAAGAGAAUCAGGCUGGCAUAUCUAUCAGAAGCCAAGGAAUUUCAAAUGUCAAAUGUGAAAAGAGACCUUCCACUCCACAUUGAAAGCAAACAAACAGUAAAGACUGAGGCUGUCCGCUGAAUUACCAUCUUGGAGAGCUGUUCCACCUCAGCCAGGGCACUCAGGAUGUCUCGGUCAAAGUCCAUGGCCUUCUGCCAGGCGCUGUGCGCAGCAGUGACCAGACCACCACAGCCAGGCCCCCCACACUUCUUCUGUCCUUCGUCAGUUCUGCAGUUGGGGCCACCACAUUCCGUCUCGGAGCAGGAGGCCCCUGGAGGCGUGCCACAGGUCUGCAACAAGCCAAGAGAGUGAGGCUCAGACAGAAAUCCCAGAAUGAUUCUGAAUUGCUCUACCAAAAUGGAGUUUGCACUUCAAAUCAGAACCAAGUAAAAAAGAAAUGUCCACAGCAUGAAAAGGAUCAAGUUUAAAUAAGUCACAGUACGUGAGAGCAGGCAUGGUUCUCUGGGUGUUCCACAGAGAGACCCCCUGGAGAGAAGGAAGAUUCGAAGCACAGAGCCUUGUUUUUAAUCUGGUUCAGUCAUGGUACCCCACAUUGGUGUUCAGAGAUGGGACCACUCCUGGUUCAUUUGCAAAGUGAACAAUAUUAAAGACUAAGCAGGGUGUUUUUUUCCUCCUCUAGCACCACAGCUUUGAGGCCAAGCUCUCUAACCCUUACCA